CUCUGAUUGGAGAUCUCUCAUGGAGUCCUUUCUACAAGCCUAGGCCUUCAGAGAUGGGUUCAGGCUUCAGUUGCCCAGAGCCCAAGAUCCGGCAUGUGUUUUGGAACGAGAGCAUUUGCAGAUUAGUGAAUACCAGCCACAGGGCCAGGUAUGAUGUGCAGAUAAGUAGAGAACCAUCUACCUUGAUGAAACUUGAGGAAAGAAAGACUUGGAAUCUGGUGCUAGAAAUUUCUAUGUAUUAAGGCUACUGAGAGCUACUGAGAGUAUCACUAGAAAGUAACCUCUUCUGCUGCCUCACUGAGAAAAAGGAAGAAGGAACUUGAUGCAGCACAGUGGAAGAGGAGUCUCAUCAUGUUAUUGUGCCACUUCUAUUAACGAGCAUUCGCCAAUAAUGCAGGUUGGCCUCUGGAAAUUUGUGCUGAGUACUUAAGGAAUUUACUGACAUUCAGAUUGAAGAGAAUCCUGAGGAAGGGCAAGAUGAAGAAGGUGGGUCAGCUGCACUACAGCUCUCCAUUAUGCCAUUACCUGCUGCUAUGAGACUAAAAGCAUUUCCAUUCUUAUUUUCACUUCGAGGCUGAACCUAAUCCUAUGUUAAAGUAAAUUCUGCAUAUAACAGGCAAAUAUCAUCACAGUGCUUUUUGUGAAGUGCAGUUGUGGAUAUUACGUUAUUUGAAAUGACAAUAAUUACUCAGUAUGUACAAUAACCAUAUAGUGGUUUAACUAAUGUUUCAUCGGUUGGAUGGUUUGGAUUUUUGUUUGCCUUUUGGGUCAUGCUUUUUUUUUCUUUGUUUGUUUCUUGGUUUGUGUUGAAAAACUUCCCUUACCUUACUAGCAUCACCAUAAUAUGUCCUCAUCUUGGAGCACUACACUACAUAUCUUGUAAAAAUACUCUCCACCAACAUAAACACAGGCUUUAUACGUGUCACUCCUUAUUAAUAUCACAGCAUUAGAAACCAGAUACAAAAGGGAGGAGGGCAAAAUUGUUGUUGCUUUAUUUAGAAACAAAGUACAUGGGGAAAAAAGUCUCACUAGUUACAAAGCACAUGGCGAUGUCACUUUCCACAAAGAUUUUGGUGGAAGGAAUAUAACAGUCUGUAUCAGUUAAUUUUUGUAACACUUAACACUAACUGGAG